GUGGCGAACGGGUGAGUAACACAUCGGAACAUGCCUAGUUGUGGGGGACAACUACUCGAAAGAGUAGCUAAUACCGCAUAAGAUCUACGGAUGAAAGCAGGGGACCUUCGGGCCUUGCGCAAUUAGAGUGGCCGAUGGCAGAUUAGGUAGUUGGUGAGGUAAAGGCUCACCAAGCCUGCGAUCUGUAGCUGGUCUGAGAGGACGACCAGCCACACUGGGACUGAGACACGGCCCAGACUCCUACGGGAGGCAGCAGUGGGGAAUUUUGGACAAUGGGCGCAAGCCUGAUCCAGCAAUGCCGCGUGCAGGACGAAGGCCUUCGGGUUGUAAACUGCUUUUGUACAGAACGAAAAGCUUUGGGUUAAUACCCUGGAGCCAUGACGGUACUGUAAGAAUAAGCACCGGCUAACUACGUGCCAGCAGCCGCGGUAAUACGUAGGGUGCAAGCGUUAAUCGGAAUUACUGGGCGUAAAGCGUGCGCAGGCGGCUAUGCAAGACUGAUGUGAAAUCCCCGGGCUCAACCUGGGAACUGCAUUAGUGACUGCAUAGCUGGAGUGCGGCAGAGGGGGAUGGAAUUCCGCGUGUAGCAGUGAAAUGCGUAGAUAUGCGGAGGAACACCGAUGGCGAAGGCAAUCCCCUGGGCCUGCACUGACGCUCAUGCACGAAAGCGUGGGGAGCAAACAGGAUUAGAUACCCUGGUAGUCCACGCCCUAAACGAUGUCAACUGGUUGUUGGGAAUUUAUUUUCUCAGUAACGAAGCUAACGCGUGAAGUUGACCGCCUGGGGAGUACGGUCGCAAGACUAAAACUCAAAGGAAUUGACGGGGACCCGCACAAGCGGUGGAUGAUGUGGUUUAAUUCGAUGCAACGCG
rnacentral:rRNA from 1 species